rnacentral:rRNA from 1 species
GGAAUUUCAUGCCCCGGGCGCGUCGCAGCCCCGGAACCAAGGCGCCCGCCGGAGGAAUCAACCAAAACUCUUAUUGUAUACCCCCUCGCGGGUUUUUUUUAUAAUCUGAGCCUUCUCGGCGCCUCUCGUAGGCGUUUCGAAAAUGAAUCAAAACUUUCGACAACGGAUCUCUUGGUUCUGGCAUCGAUGAAGAACGCAGCGAAAUGCGAUAAGUAAUGUGAAUUGCAGAAUUCAGUGAAUCAUCGAAUCUUUGAACGCACAUUGCGCCCGCCAGUAUUCUGGCGGGCAUGCCUGUCCGAGCGUCAUUUCAACCCUCGAACCCCUCCGGGGGGUCGGCGUUGGGGAUCGGCCUUCCUUCACGGGGGCCGUCUCCGAAAUACAGUGGCGGUCUCGCCGCAGCCUCUCCUGCGCAGUAGUUUGCACACUCGCAUCGGGAGCGCGGCGCGUCCACAGCCGUUAAACACCCUACUUCUGAAAUGUUGACCUCGGAUCAGGUAGGAAUAACCGCUGAACUU